AAUAUUCGAGGCAUAAACAAGCGCAUUGAACACCAUCUGAUAUGAAGCGUCGAAACACUGCUGAAGAAGAAGAUGUUUCAAGAAGGACGCCUCCGCGUUCCACGGAGCCCGGAAGGUGCCGACCGACUAGGCCGAAUCGAGUAAGCCUAUCUCCUGCUCACGAAAAAUGGGUGGCCACCUGAAUGAAAGUGCGCAGAAGCAUGGACGCAAUGUCAUAUCAGACACCGUACAAUCCCCGCUACUGCAGCCAAGUUCUGCGAUGGCCGUGCAUAGGGCGGUGUAUUGGACCAGCUACCUGCUUCUCAUUGCCGCGCUCACAGGCGUGUGCUUGAUGAUGCAUGGUGUCCCCUUUGUCUGGAGGCAUGCGCCGUAUGCCUUUUCAAAAGCCGCAAAAUCACCGAGCACAGUAACAGAGCGUGUCAAGUUGGUUGUUGUCACGUGCGACAGCAUGCUCAACUUGACUCUAACCAACAUCAAGUCGGCUGUUGCUUUCACGGCAAUGCCGUUGGAGCUGCUGCUUUUCGCCGACGAGGAGAACAGAGAGGCACUGCAACAGACGAUCUCACUGUGGCCUGAGAGCGUGCUGAAGCGUGUUCAUUACAAAGUGUCAGCAGUGAAGUUCCCCGAGCCUGAUUCCAAAACGUGGCGUGACCUCUUCAGGCCUUGUGCAUCUCAGCGCCUAUUUCUUCCUAAGGAAGAAAAAUUCAAGUGGAAGAGACACACAUCCCUUCUUUCCUCAGAUUCCAGCUUGCUGCCGGACGUGGACGCUGUGAUCUACGUGGACGCCGAUGUCCUUUUCGUAAGCCCAAUUGAGAUGCUGUGGCAGCACUUCGCAUCCAUGAACACUUCGCACCUGGCGGCGAUGGCCCCCGAGGGUGAGGACUACGCCAAUAAUUGGUACCGGAACUUCUCGAAGCACCCCUUCUAUCAACCGCUUGGUGUCAACUCAGGCGUGAUGCUAAUGAAUCUUACCCGCAUGCGGAAGUUUGGGUUGGAGGAGCACAUGAGGCCACUGCAGCAGAUCUAUGGAGAGCACAUACCCUGGGGGGAUCAGGACCUCCUGAACAUCUUCUUUGGCACCAACCCUGAACGCCUGUUGGUGUUUUCGUGCCGGUGGAACUACCGGACCGAUCAUUGCAUGCACGGAACACACUGCACCGAGGGACCACCGGCUGUUGUCCACGGGUCACGCAACGUCUUCACUGAGUACUCAGAGCCGGCUUUCUGGGAACUUCACCAGGCCAUGCGGGAGCCCCAACAAUCACCGAGAUGAUAACCGUACCUACAUUGCGAGUAUUUUAUGAAUCGUCCAUCGGCGGCGGAGGGAUCGUUGAAGGAACGGCGCUGUCUCUUCAUGGCCCCACCAGGUGUAUACAUAAUGCAAACAGCACCGAACGCCAAAGCACUUGACAUGAUAAAUAUCGCUUACCAAUCAACAGGACGGCAACGGUGGCGACGGUGGCAAAAAUGCUGGGCAAAAUAGCUAUUCAGGAAUGAACAUGAGUUUUCCAACCUGCAAAGAGUGGAAUAAAUAUUUAAGGGGUCUUCCUUCUUCCACCCCCGUCGCCAGCCAUGUGAUCUGGAUCAACUGGAUCAGCACAGCCAGCUGAAUAUAAUUCGUCACCUCAGUGCAGCCAAGAAACCUCGAACAAGGAUGUCUGUGGGAAGCUCUGGUCUGUGCACGUGAUGGCAAGAGUGUGCUUUUUGUAUUUUGAUGGCAAGUUUUCGAUUACGAGCUUGGCGAAAGUCUCGGGGACACCUUCAUCGACGUUUUCAAGGAUCGACUUAGCAAGAGUCACAAUACUAGCUGCGAACACGAGUUCCUUAAGCAUGUGGUUCACUGGGAGAAGAU